rnacentral:lncRNA from 1 species
AGUCUUCAAGUAAAGGCCAGAUGACUACUUACAGACUAUGAUGUAAACAUAUUUUUUAUUAUUCUUAUCAGAUAUAGAUUGGACUGGAUGGCAUCAAAGAUAUCUUCCAACUCUGAAGUCUUAUGAUUCUGAUUCUAAACAGCUGGAGCAAAGUUGAAGAGGCAGGAUUAGAGAGAAAAAUGCCAAAACGUCUCUUCAAGAUAUUUUUGCUGUCACCUAUUACAAAUAUCCAUUGUCACUGGUUUAUCACUAUCAUAUUAAGGGGCUACAAUCAACUUUACUUGUUCUCAGAUCCAGAUGGCUGCCAGGAGAGUUUCAAGCAAAUGAACUAUGCAUCAGAUUCUCAUUGAACUUAAUGAGCAUGGUCCAUGACCUAUCCUUCAUCAGCAAGUUCAUUUAGAAUGGGGAAUUCACUAAUCCAUUCAAUUAGCUGCCUGUAAAAGGGGA